CUGCCCUCAAGCACGGCUUGUGUGUUGGGCCUCCGUCCUCCUCCCGGGGAACGGGCCCGAAAGGCAGCGGCGGCACCGCGUCCGGUCCUCGAGCGCAUGGGACUUCGUCACCCGCUCUUGUAGGCCCGGCCGGCGCUUGCCGACACAUCAAUCUUUUUUCCA
rnacentral:misc_RNA from 1 species